rnacentral:sRNA from 1 species
AAAUAAACCCGAUUGAUGCGGAAAGCGUUUGAUAAACCUGCAUGGUCUUAAAGACCUGCAGGUUUGAAAAACUUGAAGCAAAAAGCGGGGCUUUCG